rnacentral:rRNA from 1 species
CCUACCUUUAACUCUGGGAUAGCCCGAAGAAAUUCGGAUUAAUACCGGAUAAUAUCAAGAUAUGACAUCACAGCUUGAUUAAAGGCGCGAGUUGGUUAAAGAUGGGCAUGCGUCCCAUUAGUUAGUUGGGGAGGUAACGGCUCACCAAGGCGAUGAUGGGUAGGGGCUCUGAGAGGAUUACCCCCCACAUUGGUACUGAGACAGGGACCAAACUCCUACGGGAGGCAGCAGUGAGGAAUAUUGGGCAAUGGACGGAAGUCUGACCCAGCCAUGCCGCGUGCAGGAAGACGGCCUUAUGGGUUGUAAACUGCUUUUAUGUAGGGAAAAAGUUCAUAUUGCGAUAUGAUUUGAUGGUACUACAGGAAUAAGAAUCGGCUAACUCCGUGCCAGCAGCCGCGGUAAUACGGAGGAUUCGAGCGUUAUCCGGAUUUAUUGGGUUUAAAGGGUGCGCAGGCGGACUAUUAAGUCAGUGGUGAAAUUUUCCGGCUCAACCGGGACAGUGCCAUUGAUACUGAUAGACUAGAGUAUAAUUGACGUAUGUGGAAUGUAGCAUGUAGCGGUGAAAUGCAUAGAGAUGCUACAGAACACCGAUAGCGAAGGCAGCAUACGAAGCUAUAACUGACGCUCAUGCACGAAAGCGUGGGGAUCAAACAGGAUUAGAUACCCUGGUAGUCCACGCCUGUAAACGAUGAUAACU